rnacentral:rRNA from 1 species
GCCUACGGGGGGCAGCAGUAGGGAAUCUUCCACAAUGGGCGAAAGCCUGAUGGAGCAACGCCGCGUGGGUGAAGAAGGUCUUCGGAUCGUAAAACCCUGUUGUUAGAGAAGAAAGUGCGUGAGAGUAACUGUUCACGUUUCGACGGUAUCUAACCAGAAAGCCACGGCUAACUACGUGCCAGCAGCCGCGGUAAUACGUAGGUGGCAAGCGUUAUCCGGAUUUAUUGGGCGUAAAGAGAACGCAGGCGGUCUUUUAAGUCUGAUGUGAAAGACUUUGGCUUAACCGGAUUAGUGCAUUGGAAACU